rnacentral:rRNA from 1 species
UACAGAGGGGGCAAGCGUUGUUCGGAAUUACUGGGCGUAAAGGGCGCGUAGGCGGCCUUCUAAGUCGAACGUGAAAUCCCUGGGCUCAACCCAGGAACUGCGUCCGAUACUGGAAGGCUUGAAUCCGGGAGAGGGAUGCGGAAUUCCUGGUGUAGCGGUGAAAUGCGCAGAUAUCAGGAGGAACACCAAUGGCGAAGGCAGCUCACUGGGACGGUAUUGACGCUGAGACGCGAAAGCGUGGGGAGCAAACAGG